CUGGUCGAGAGGCGUUGCAACGGAUCCGGGUUCCCGCCGGCAUCCGCCACGCUCGGCGAAGUCAAGGACGCCUUCCGUUA
rnacentral:sRNA from 1 species